rnacentral:rRNA from 1 species
AUACGUAGGGUGCAAGCGUUAAUCGGAAUUACUGGGCGUAAAGCGUGCGCAGGCGGUUUUGUAAGACAGUGGUGAAAUCCCCGGGCUCCACCUGGGAACUGCCAUUGUGACUGCAAGGCUGGAGUGCGGCAGAGGGGGAUGGAAUUCCGCGUGUAGCAGUGAAAUGCGUAGAUAUGCGGAGGAACACCGAUGGCGAAGGCAAUCCCCUGGGCCUGCACUGACGCUCAUGCACGAAAGCGUGGGGAGCAAACAGGAUUAGAUACCCUGGUAGUCCACGCCCUAAACGAUGUCAACUGGUUGUUGGGGAUUUAUUUUCUCAGUAACGAAGCUAACGCGUGAAGUUGACCGCCUGGGGAGUACGGCCGCAAGGUUAAAACUCAAAGGAAUUGACGGGG